UCUGGGCCUUUAUUUUGAAAAUCGCGAGAUUAACGUUGCUGUACUAUCGCGUGAGUAAAACAGUUGCACUUCCUGCAGGAGGGGACGGAAGAUUUUCACAAACUUGUGUGUCACUCAGGCAAAGGUGAACAUGGGAGAUAUCUCGGAAAGGACGCUACAAGUCGCUGUUGUGGUUUCUUUCUCUGUCGGCUUUCUGGCAGGGUGGCAGGCCAACAGAAUGAGAAGAAAGUAUCUGGACUGGAAGAAAAAACGUCUGCAAGAUAAACUGUCAGAAACACAGAAGAAGCUGGAUUCGUCGUGAAUGAUGUGAGGCUUUCUGUCUUGGGUGGAUGCUGAUCUUAUUGGUAAAGCUGUUGGAUCCUGGAUAUGCUACAGUCUGAUACUGU